rnacentral:lncRNA from 1 species
AAAAGGUGUUUAUCGCCGCCAUGACAGAAAAAUUAUAAUAGUCCGCUGGUCAAUCACAUCAAAUGCUCAGAUUACUUUGACAAGUUUUCUUUGUUGACCCAUACAGACGAACAAAAUUUGUACUUUGACAAUUUUUUCCAUGACAAGUGCACUUGUUCAAAAGCUAGCAUGCUAGCUUUUGAACAAGUGCACUUGUCAUAGAAAAAAAUGUCAAAGUUGCACGUACAGACGAGCAAAUAAAAC